rnacentral:rRNA from 1 species
GUUCAUUCACAAUCACAAAGUCCACACUCUACACUCGACAACUACUCUUCAGUCAUCACCUACUUCGGAGUUUCAGACCAGCAGCACAGAGAGAGAUCAUGGCGGGCGCAGCUAAGGCGUCUUGGAUGGUGGCGAUGAGCGUGGGCGCGGUGGAGGCGCUCAAGGACCAGGUCGGCCUCUGCCGCUGGAACUACGCCCUCAAAUCCAUCCAUCGGGCAGCCAAGGCCAGGGCCAACGUCUGCGGCGGCGUCUCGCAGGGCGCCAAGCAGCUUCCAGCCUCUGCUGCGGCGGUGGCGGAGAGGCGGCAAGGGGAGAAGGCCGAGGAAGGGCUGAGGACGGUGAUGUACCUCAGCUGCUGGGGUCCCAAUUAGAAGCUGCCUACUUGGUAGUACUAGCUAGGCGUCUCUGUGUUUGGUACUAUGGCCUGAAACCACGAUGCAGAAACUUG